CAAAUACUCCAUCUGUCCAACAAAAGAUGUCUCAAUUUUGACUAAAUUUGAAUGCAUCUAUACAUUAAGUCAUGUUUAAAUGCAUCCAAAUUUUGAUAAAGUUGAACAUCUUUUGUUGUACGGAGGGAGUAUUGU
rfam:Brachypodium distachyon strain Bd21 chromosome 4, whole genome shotgun sequence.